UACGGAGGGGGCUAGCGUUGUUCGGAAUUACUGGGCGUAAAGCGCACGUAGGCGGCUUUGUAAGUUAGAGGUGAAAGCCCAGGGCUUAACCCUGGAAUUGCCUUUAAGACUGCAUCGCUAGAAUCGUGGAGAGGUAAGUGGAAUUCCGAGUGUAGAGGUGAAAUUCGUAGAUAUUCGGAAGAACACCAGUGGCGAAGGCGACUCACUGGACACGGUAUUGACGCUGAGG
rnacentral:rRNA from 1 species